rnacentral:misc_RNA from 1 species
UUUCCGUAGGUGAACCUGCGGAAGGAUCAUUAUCGAGUUUGAAUGCGGGCUCUGACGCUGGCUUCGGCAUGUGCUCGAGCCCCGCCCAUCCACUCAACCCCUGUGCACUUUAGAGGUGUAGUCCUCCGUCAUGGGAGCCGCUCUCCGGAGCUGGGACUGCGCCUCGACCCUUCUACACAAACACCUGUAAAGUCUAGUGAAUGUGAUCGCCCUCUGGGCGGAAUUGUAAUACAACUUUCAACAACGGAUCUCUUGGCUCUC